rnacentral:misc_RNA from 1 species
GAGAAAUUAUAUAAUAAAGUGAUAUACAUAUACAUGGGUCAACCAACCGCCGGUUUCAAAACGUAAUCCAUAACCUCCAGUUGAAAAAGAUAAGAUUUUUUUAUUAGAGUUUCCUCUCUUGACCGUUUCUGGAACUCAGAGUUUCUGCAGGAAAUUGAUUCUCUGAUAUCUGCCAUGGAAAUUGUGACUACCACUGGAGGUGCUAUUCUCACUUCUGUGUUUACGGCGUUAUUUGAUCAGUUGGCUUCCCAGGACUUGCUUAAGUAUGCCCGCGAAGGAAAAGUCUUGAAUGAACUCAACAAAUGGAAGGACAUUUUGGAGGAAAUUUACGUGGUGCUUGACGAUGCAGAGGAG